UCUCUGUGUGUAGCCUUAGAAGAGGAAACUCUGAGACUGCAGAGGGCAUUCCUUGGGGGUGGUGUGUUCUGUUUGUGUAAACACGUGAGCCAGCCGAGAAUCCAGGCCCAGAAGGACAGGAGGCGAGGCAGCAGCAGCACACCAGCUGGCACGGGCUGCACAACAAACAAAAGCUGACAAAGUUGCCUGCCAUGUGCACUAGCGACUUCCAAAGCCUUUAGCGACGAAAGGCGGAAUAUCUGUUGGCAGAGUGCCUGGUGCUUGUUCCUCUCGGCUGUCUGCCGGUCCUGCAGGGGAGGACUUAAAGCUCCAAAGGUCACAAGAAAGGGCACGGUCUGAUUUGAUCCAUAGCCCCACCCCUAGAAGGGACAGGGUGUUAUUCUGAGUCUUGUAAACCCCCCGGUUGUGCUCAAGCUGCUGUCCCCAUACCCCGUUUCUGUGGAUGUGAAGUUCCCAGGACCCAUGGAGGACAAGGAGGUGUGAGGUCUCAGUUUCCUGCCACAUUCAUUAUGCCUGUCUGCUGCCAUGCAUCCCCGUGGUCAUGGAAAUAGCCUCUGUUCUCUGGAACUGUGUAAUCACACAAACCCUUCCUGCUGUAGGUCGCCUUGGUCAUGUAUAUUAUCACAACAAUAGAAAAAUGACUAGGAUGGAGAACCCCAGACUGAAGUUGAACCGUUUGUCUCAGUCUACAGAUGCACAUACCAAUCACCUCGUGAACCAUCACUGCGUUUACUUUCCAGAUAUUCUUUGGUGUAAUCAACAUGUGUUCUACCCCCAGCCCCCAAGAUCCAGCUCUGCCUCCCAAUUAUACUGAACACCAUGCUUUAGAUAUCUGUGACCCCUUGAUGAAGCUAGACAUGAGAGGAAGUCUGUUCCUCACCCAGGUAUGGGCAAAGCCAAGGAUCACUACAACCAAGGGAUGCUACAACCUGGGGGACACAGCCUGCCAGCCCUGAUAUUACUGGACAGCCUGGAAGCUGAGGAUCGAUUUGCAGAUCAAUGUUGGUGACUAAUUCAACAAUAGGAAGCACCGAUUUUGAAGGAAAAAAAGUGUACAAAUAUUGUAGUGCUUUAAAAGAAUUAUACUGUGUGAGUUGCUCACGCUCCAGUCAACAGCCUUGCCCCUGUGCUCAAGCAACAUGAAGUAUAAAGAACAAGGGGGGGGGCUUGUUACUGUGAAGAAGGGGCUCAGAGCCAAGUUAAGGAGGCUAACCAAGGCCAACGAGGAUUGAGUAUCAUCCAAACACAUUAUACCCGAGUAUGGAAUUAUGACUGAAUAAUUA